GCAGAUUAGCCUACCAAGGCAAUGAUCUAUAGCUGAUCUGAGAGGAUGAUCAGCACCACUGGAACUGAGAUACGGUCCAGACUCCUACGGGAGGCAGCAGUGGGGAAUAUUGGACAAUGGGCGAAAGCCUGAUCCAGCCAUGCCGCAUGAGUGAAGAAGGCCUUUGGGUUGUAAAGCUCUUUUAGUGAGGAAGAUAAUGACGGUACUCACAGAAGAAGUCCUGGCUAACUCCGUGCCAGCAGCCGCGGUAAUACGGAGAGGGCUAGCGUUAUUCGGAAUUAUUGGGCGUAAAGGGCGCGUAGGCGGAUUAGUAAGUUAAAAGUGAAAUCCCAAGGCUCAACCUUGGAAUUGCUUUUAAAACUGCUAAUCUAGAGAUUGAAAGAGGAUAGAGGAAUUCCUAGUGUAGAGGUGAAAUUCGUAAAUAUUAGGAGGAACACCAGUGGCGAAGGCGUCUAUCUGGUUCAAAUCUGACGCUGAGGCGCGAAGGCGUGGGGAGCAAACAGGAUUAGAUACCCUGGUAGUCCACGCUGUAAACGAUGAAUGUUAAAUAUGGGAAGUUUUACUUUCUGUAUUACAGCUAACGCGUUAAACAUUCCGCCUGGGGACUACGGUCGCAAGAUUAAAACUCAAAGGAAUUGACGGGGACCCGCACAAGCGGUGGAGCAUGUGGUUUAAUUCGAUGCAACGCGAAAAACCUUACCACUCCUUGACAUGGAAAUUAUACCUAUUCGAAGGGAUAGGGUCGGUUCGGCCGGGUUUCACACAGGUGUUGCAUGGCUGUCGUCAGCUCGUGUCGUGAGAUGUUGGGUUAAGUCCCGCAACGAGCGCAACCCUCAUCCUUAGUUACCACCAGGUAAUGCUGGGGACUUUAAGGAAACUGCCAGUGAUAAACUGGAGGAAGGUGGGGAUGAUGUCAAGUCAUCAUGGCCCUUAUGGAGUGGGCUACACACGUGCUACAAUGGUGGCUACAAUGGGCUGCAAAGUCGCGAGGCUAAGCUAAUCCCUUAAAAGCCAUCUCAGUUCGGAUUGUACUCUGCAACUCGAGUGCAUGAAGUUGGAAUCGCUAGUAAUCGUGGAUCAGCACGCCACGGUGAAUACGUUCUCGGGUCUUGUACACACUGCCCGUCAGGCCAUGGGAAUUGGUUUCACUCGAAGCUAACGACCUAACCGCA
rnacentral:rRNA from 1 species